AACGAACGCUGGCGGCAGGCCUAACACAUGCAAGUCGAGCGAGGACUUCGGUCCUAGCGGCUGUCGGGUGAGUCACGCGUGGGAACGUUCCCUUUUCUUCGGGAUAGCCCUGGGAAACUGGGAGUAAUACCGGAUGAGCCCCUCUGGUGCAAGAUUUAUCGUCCAAGUAUCGGCCCGCGUUGGAUUAGGUUGUUGGUGGGGUAAUGGCCUACCAAGCCGACGAUCCAUAGCUGGUUUGAGAGGAUGAUCAGCCACACUGGGACUGAGACACGGCCCAGACUCCUACGGGAGGCAGCAGUGGGGAAUCUUAGACAAUGGGGGAAAUCCUGAUCUAGCCAUGCCGCGUGAGCGAUGAAGGCCUUAGGGAAGUAAAGCUCUUUCAGCUGGGAAGAUAAUGACGGUACCAGAAGAAGAAGCCCCGGCUAACUCCGUG
rnacentral:rRNA from 1 species